UGGACAUGUAAAUUGUGUGCCAGGAAAUGAAUUCCUUAUAACAUUUCUUGCCAGAAGCUAAAUUCUAGUAAAUAUGCAUAUUGUCGUCAAUUUACUACAAAAUCCAAGCGAUCUCUGCAAGCAACUCCCUUAACCGAGGUGCCUACGUAUUAUUUUCCUUUGGGUUUCAACUUGAAAUAUUGUGUCACCAACUCUGGAAAUCCAGUUGACUACCAGCUGGCAAGAAACAGGUUUCCUUUUGAAGCUGAAUGAAGUACAAGGCAGUAGAAAUAUUAAGAACGGAUUCGCCCUGGUUUAACGGGGAGAAGGGCCUGUGCUCUGAUGUCCUCCUUGAAACACUGCUCUCAACGCCACGCUGUGGGCGGAUGUUUUCCGGAAACUUCUAACGCUGUCAGACUAACGCGCGACAGCUACGCACACAUGGUUCAGCAGGGAGAUUUUCUUCUCAAAAAAAAUGCGAGACUGCACACUGACGUGAAGGUGCUGAAGUCCAGCGCUGAGGCACCGGGGCCGUAACUCAUUCUCGGGUAGCGUUACUAAGAUAACAAAACCGCGCAGGCUGUUUUUCCAGCCCCGCGUUUGGAGAAGAAGCAGAGCGCGGCUGUCAGGCGAGCGGCCGGCUCUGCGCAAGGUCUCCCGUCCUGCCACGUCCCCCUCUCGCCCCCGGCCGCAGUCGCUCGCCCCUUUCGCUCUGAAAAUAAAUCAGCCUCGCCUGCCACGGUUUGAUUUCUGUCUUGCUCUCCGCCUCCGGCCGCGGGUGCCGCGCUCUCUUUGAAAGCCGCCGUCCACCGCACCAUAUGGCAGCUGAGGGAAGGGCGCAGCAACGCCGCGGCUCCGCACAAAAGCGGCCGCGGGAUCAACGCGCCUCAUGAAUGCAUGAGACACGGUCAUGUAUAGCGAAGCGCCUCGGGCCCGAGCGGCGAGGGCUAAAGAGGAGGCUGAGAGGCGCCGCCACGGCCUCGGCGCGCAGAAAGGCGGCGGCCCUCUCGGCAGCCUUCCCCCCCAAAUCCUAUUAGCUCCGUUAAGGACGCGAGACACAAAGUCUGGCAGAACAGGACGCGCUGUUAGGCCGCUUGAUUUACUCCCUAUCGCUGUUUUUGAGAGAUGAUCGUGUUACUAAAAGAGAAGAUAGAGCUGGCUUUCAUACCGCACCUAGGAGUAAACAGGCAAGCCCUAUCGCGCGGAGGAGCGCGCGCCCUACUCCACGUGCGCCGGCACGCUUACCGCAAACCGAACGCUGCCGGCAGAAACCUGGAAACCGUUGGCAGCGUAGUAUCUACUGACGGGUUUAUUUUACCAAACCACUCUCUCAACCUGCUGCUGAUAGAGACAAAGGACUU